GCCCAAGAGAUCGGGAUAACACCUGGAAACAGAUGCUAAUACCGGAUAACAACAGAUGAUGCCUAUCAACUGUUUAAAAGAUGGUUCUGCUAUCACUCUUGGAUGGACCUGCGGUGCAUUAGCUAGUUGGUAGGGUAACGGCCUACCAAGGCGAUGAUGCAUAGCCGAGUUGAGAUACUGAUCGGCCACAUUGGGACUGAGACACGGCCCAAACUCCUACGGGAGGCAGCAGCG
rnacentral:rRNA from 1 species